rnacentral:rRNA from 1 species
GAUGAACGCUGGCGGUAUGCCUAACACAUGCAAGUCGUACGAGAGUUUUAACUCUAGUGGCGGACGGGUGAGUAACACGUGAGAAUUUGCCUUUAGGAGGGGGAUAACAAUUGGAACGAAUGCUAAUACCCCAUAUGCUUUUGAGUGAAACGGAUUUAUCCGCCUAGAGAGAAGCUCGCGGCUGAUUAGCUUGUUGGUAAGGUAAGAGCCUUACCAAGGCGACGAUCAGUAUCUGGUUUGAGAGGACGAUCAGACACACUGGAACUGAGACACGGUCCAGACUCCUACGGGAGGCAGCAGUGGGGAAUUUUCCGCAAUGGGCGAAAGCCUGACGGAGCAAUACCGCGUGAGGGAAGACUGCCUAUGGGUUGUAAACCUCUUUUUCUAGGGAGGAAUAAAUGACGUGUACCUGAAGAAUAAGCAAUCGGCUAACUCCGUG